UACGUAGGCAGCGAGCGUUGUUCGGAGUUACUGGGCGUAAAGGGUGUGUAGGCGGUUUUCUAAGUUUGGUGUGAAAUCUCCCGGCUUAACCGGGAGGGUGCGCCGAAAACUGGGAGACUAGAGUGCGGGAUGGGAGAGUAGAAUUCCUGGUGUAGCGGUGAAAUGCGUAGAUAUCAGGAGGAAUACCGGUGGUGUAGACGGCUCUCUGGACCGCAACUGAGGCUGAGACACGAAAGCGUGGGUAGCAAACAGG
rnacentral:rRNA from 1 species